rnacentral:rRNA from 1 species
AGACCCGAAACCCGGUGAUCUAGCCAUGGGCAGGUUGAAGGUUGGGUAACACUAACUGGAGGACCGAACCGACUAAUGUUGAAAAAUUAGCGGAUGACCUGUGGCUGGGGGUGAAAGGCCAAUCAAACCGGGAGAUAGCUGGUUCUCCCCGAAAGCUAUUUAGGUAGCGCCUCGUGAAUUCAUCUCCGGGGGUAGAGCACUGUUUCGGCUAGGGGGCCAUCCCGGCUUACCAACCCGAUGCAAACUGCGAAUACCGGAGAAUGUUAUCACGGGAGACACACGGCGGGUGCUAACGUCCGUCGUGAAGAGGGAAACAACCCAGACCGCCAGCUAAGGUCCCAAAGUCAUGGUUAAGUGGGAAACGAUGUGGGAAGGCCCAGACAGCCAGGAUGUUGGCUUAGAAGCAGCCAUCAUUUAAAGAAAGCGUAAUAGCUCACUGGUCGAGUCGGCCUGCGCGGAAGAUGUAACGGGGCUAAACCAUGCACCGAAGCUGCGGCAGCGAACGUAUCACCCAAGACAACUUUACGGAGUUGACGAUUGACGGAGCGAAGCGACGUCAAAGCGUUCAUUAAAGUCGAGUUGGCUUAGGGAUACGUUCGUUGGGUAGGGGAGCGUUCUGUAAGCCUGUGAAGGUGUGUCGUGAGGCAUGCUGGAGGUAUCAGAAGUGCGAAUGCUGACAUAAGUAACGAUAAAGCGGGUGAAAAGCCCGCUCGCCGGAAGACCAAGGGUUCCUGUCCAACGUUAAUCGGGGCAGGGUGAGUCGACCCCUAAGGCGAGGCCGAAAGGCGUAGUCGAUGGGAAACGGGUUAAUAUUCCCGUACUUGGUGUUACUGCGAAGGGGGGACGGAGAAGGCUAUGUUGGCCGGGCGACGGUUGUCCCGGUUUAAGCGUGUAGGUGUGUGUUCCAGGUAAAUCCGGUUCACUUUAACACUGAGGCGUGACGACGAGGCACUACGGUGCUGAAGCAACAAAUGCCCUGCUUCCAGGAAAAGCCUCUAAGCAUCAGGUAACACGAAAUCGUACCCCAAACCGACACAGGUGGUCAGGUAGAGAAUACCAAGGCGCUUGAGAGAACUCGGGUGAAGGAACUAGGCAAAAUGGUGCCGUAACUUCGGGAGAAGGCACGCUGACACGUAGGUGAAGUGAUUUACUCAUGGAGCUGAAGUCAGUCGAAGAUACCAGCUGGCUGCAACUGUUUAUUAAAAACACAGCACUGUGCAAACACGAAAGUGGACGUAUACGGUGUGACGCCUGCCCGGUGCCGGAAGGUUAAUUGAUGGGGUCAGCGCAAGCGAAGCUCCUGAUCGAAGCCCCGGUAAACGGCGGCCGUAACUAUAACGGUCCUAAGGUAGCGAAAUUCCUUGUCGGGUAAGUUCCGACCUGCACGAAUGGCGUAAUGAUGGCCAGGCUGUCUCCACCCGAGACUCAGUGAAAUUGAACUCGCUGUGAAGAUGCAGUGUACCCGCGGCAAGACGGAAAGACCCCGUGAACCUUUACUAUAGCUUGACACUGAACAUUGAGCCUUGAUGUGUAGGAUAGGUGGGAGGCUUUGAAGUGUGGACGCCAGUCUGCAUGGAGCCGACCUUGAAAUACCACCCUUUAAUGUUUGAUGUUCUAACGUGGACCCGUAAUCCGGGUUGCGGACAGUGUCUGGUGGGUAGUUUGACUGGGGCGGUCUCCUCCUAAAGAGUAACGGAGGAGCACGAAGGUUGGCUAAUCCUGGUCGGACAUCAGGAGGUUAGUGCAAUGGCAUAAGCCAGCUUGACUGCGAGCGUGACGGCGCGAGCAGGUGCGAAAGCAGGUCAUAGUGAUCCGGUGGUUCUGAAUGGAAGGGCCAUCGCUCAACGGAUAAAAGGUACUCCGGGGAUAACAGGCUGAUACCGCCCAAGAGUUCAUAUCGACGGCGGUGUUUGGCACCUCGAUGUCGGCUCAUCACAUCCUGGGGCUGAAGUAGGUCCCAAGGGUAUGGCUGUUCGCCAUUUAAAGUGGUACGCGAGCUGGGUUUAGAACGUCGUGAGACAGUUCGGUCCCUAUCUGCCGUGGGCGCUGGAGAACUGAGGGGGGCUGCUCCUAGUACGAGAGGACCGGAGUGGACGCAUCACUGGUGUUCGGGUUGUCAUGCCAAUGGCACUGCCCGGUAGCUAAAUGCGGAAGAGAUAAGUGCUGAAAGCAUCUAAGCACGAAACUUGCCCCGAGAUGAGUUCUCCCUGAGACUUAGAGUCUCCUGAAGGAACGUUGAAGACGACGACGUUGAUAGGCCGGGUGUGUAAGCGCAGC